GACGAACGCUGGCGGCGUGCUUAACACAUGCCAGUCGAACGAAGAGCGACGGAAGCUUGCUUCUAUCAAUCUUAGUGGCGAACGGGUGAGUAACGCGUAAUCAACCUGCCCUUCAGAGGGGGACAACAGUUGGAAACGACUGCUAAUACCGCAUACGAUCUAACCUCGGCAUCGAGGAUAGAUGAAAGGUGGCCUCUACAUGUAAGCUAUCACUGAAGGAGGGGAUUGCGUCUGUUGGGGUCGUUGGAGGGGUAAGGGCCCAACAAGGAGAGGUUGAGUAGCCGGUAGGAGAGGAUGAGCAGCCACAUUGAGACGGUGACACGGCCCAGACUGCUACAGGAAGCAGCCGUGGGGAAACGGCCGCAAUCGGCGAGAGACAGACGGCGCAACGCCGCGUGAGUGAUGACGGCCGUCGGGUUGUAGAGCACGGUUAUUCGGGACGAAAGGCCUUCUUGCUAAUAGUGAGAAGGAUUGACGGUACCGGAAUAGAAAGCCACGGCUAACUACGUG
rnacentral:rRNA from 1 species